GACGAACGCUGGCGGCGUGCCUAAUACAUGCAAGUAGAACGCUGAAGGAGGAGCUUGCUUCUCUGGAUGAGUUGCGAACGGGUGAGUAACGCGUAGGUAACCUGCCUGGUAGCGGGGGAUAACUAUUGGAAACGAUAGCUAAUACCGCAUAAUAGCAGUUAUUGCAUGAUAACUGUUUGAAAGGUGCAAUUGCACCACUACCAGAUGGACCUUCGUUGUAUUAGCUAGUUGGUGGGGUUACGGCUCACCAAGGCGACGAUACAUAGCCGACCUGGGAAGGGGGUCCGCCCACCUGGGACUGGGACACGGCCCCGGCUCCUACGGGAGGCAGCAGUAGGGAAUCUUCGGACAUGGGCGGAAGUCUGACCGAGCAACGCCGCGGUGGUGAAGAAGGGUUUCGGAUCGUAAAGCUCUGUUGUGAGGGAAGAAAGAGUGUGAGAGUGGAAAGUUCACACUGUGACGGUAUCUUACCAGAAAGGGACGGCUAACUACGUG
rnacentral:rRNA from 1 species